GCGUUUUGAUAAUAACAAUAGGAACAUUUCCCCAAAACUGUACAAUUUCAGGAUGGGAUAAAGCUAAAAUACGUGGGAAUGGUCUAAAGAAAGUGUUGAUUUGUUGGUGGCUCAGGGAAGGCUGACUGGUUUUGGGGCCUUGGAUUUAGUUUGACCACAGAUUAAAAUGUAGUAUUUCUAAAAACCCUGGAUACAGCCCUGGUGGUUGGAAGUGACCUGAUUAGAGUCUGGAGGCCACUAGGGUCAGUAACACGUCUGAUAAAGUGGAUCAGCAGUAGCAGGGGUGUGAAGACUGUGUUUAGUAAUGACACCGUGACACACACAGUUUGCUCCUGGGUGUCACCUCUUUAACCGGGUCAGAUUUAUUGUAGCAACGGACCCUAGCAACGCACCGGGUCCAUGGAGACUGUCUGUGUGUGUGUGUAUGAAGGAAUGCAAGGCUACACGGGUCAAUACACAGAGGAAAACACACCGAGGUGUAAUUAAACCUGACAUUUAUGACUUUCAAGGACGUAUUUUACGUCUUUGCUUUGAGGUGAAUAUGGGAUGCUGCAGCUCCACGAACACCGCGGUCCGACCGUUGAAACCGGAAGGGGUGAAGGGAGACGAGGAUGAGACAGGAAGUAAAGUCGAUGGUCGUGGAGACUCGGCCGUGUCAAAGGGCACGACAGACAGCGGGGUGGUGAUGGAGAACAGAGACAUCCCUGUGUUACCUGGAGCGGUGCCCAGAAGACUCCCUCCUCUGGCAUCUGAGUGUGUCACAGAAAGCGAUGCGGACAGAAUGACACAAAACGGCUUGCUGCAGCAGGAGAGCACACUGCAGGAGCGCCCAAAGUCCAGUGAGAUCCUGAAGGAGCUGCUGAACCAAGGCAUCAUACCAGUGGGAGCACAGAGCAGAGAGAGGGGCAGCGGGGCUGGAGAGGCCUACAGCAUCAUGCUGGAUCACAGGGAGGUGGUCAGGCGAAGGCCGCCUGCCAGACUGGAGUCUCUGAAGGCCAAGAAGGUCCAAAAUCUACCCAGCAAAGAAGAGAUUGAGGAGAAGAUAAGACUUGCUGAGGAGAGACGCAAGUUAAGGGAAGACGAGCUCAAGAGGCGUUUGAGGACCAAGUCAGCCCGUGUUCGGGGCCCCGCUCCCACCUCUAGCACAGAGGAGGACGAGGACGCAGCUCUCACCACUGUGGAGCCGCUACAGUCACCUCUCACCCCGGAACCCCUCGAUCCACUGCCUCACAGCCAGAUCAAACGCGAGGCGGCUGAGGGCGGAGAGUGGGUGAGAGAGGCCGCAGAUGACGGCAGAGAAGAAAUAGGUAGCGCAGACAAGAGAGAAGGGAGGACAGAGAAGAGAGGAGAGAGGGGAGAUAACAGAGGGUCCGGUGGUGACGGGGAAGAGGAGGAGUUGACCCAGGUGGAGGAGCUCAGAAAGGAUCAGCUUCUCCUCACAGCCUCUGGGGAGCUGGAGAGCGACUCUAGCUUUCAACAUGCAGAGGACAAAGAGGAGAUAUUUUAUUAAUCGCAAAAAUGAGCCAAGAAUCAGCACUAAGAGAGAUAAAAGAUAGAGGAGAGGGAGCCAAAAAUAAUUCCUUUUGAAACUUGUAAAAAGAAAGAUGCAUGGGGUAUAUAUUGUUAUAUCGUAAGAAGAAAUUAAGAUGUAAUAAGCUGUGAUUGGCCCUAUAUUGUAGCUUAGUAAUAAGCACAAAUGAAUAUAAGGGUUUUCUUUCUAAAGAAAUAAAAUGUACCUCAAUGAAGGCUUUGAUAAAUAUGACCAAGACUUCUUGCCAACAUACAAAAUGUAUUUAAAUGAGAUUUUAGUUUUACAUUUAAUUGUAAAAUAUGAUAUUUUUUAGUCUCUUUUUGCACGUGAAGGGUGCACUUGUUCGAUUGGACAUGAGAUGGCGCUGUUUCAGUGAGUUAAAGUUGCCUGAAGUCAGCGUGCAGCUCAUCUAUAUGAUAAGUUAGGAGGAGGUUUUGGGAACAUGUGGAAUUGUUAUUGAUCAAUAAAGUCCCCCUUGUGUGUUGUUUAUGUAUGUGUGAAUCGAAAUCUUUAUGAAAUUACCUAAUUUACCUGAC
rnacentral:lncRNA from 1 species